UUGCUUCGGCAGCACAUAAACUAAAACUGGAACGAUACAGAGAAGAUUAGCAUGCCCCUGUGCAAGGAUGACAUGCAAUUUUGUGAAGCACUCUAUAUUUCG